GACGAACGCUGGCGGCGUGCUUAACACAUGCAAGUCGAACGGUGAAGCGCUUGCCUUUUUGGUGGGUGUGGAUGAGUGGCGAACGGGUGAGUAACACGUGAGUAACCUGCCCUCUUCUUCUGGAUAACCUCAUGAAAGUGGGGCUAAUACGGGGUAUUCCGGGUCUGUCGCAUGGCGGGUUUGGGAAAGAUUGCGCCUUUGGGUGUUUUCGGUGGGGGAUGGGCUCGCGGCCUAUCAGCUUGUUGGUGGGGUGAUGGCCUACCAAGGCGGUGACGGGUAGCCGGCCUGAGAGGGUGGACGGCCACACUGGGACUGAGACACGGCCCAGACUCGUGCGGGAGGCAGCAGUGGGGAAUAUUGCACAAUGGGCGCAAGCCUGAUGCAGCGACGCCGCGUGAGGGAUGGAGGCCUUCGGGUUGUGAACCUCUUUCGCCAGUGAAGCAGGCCUGCUCCUGUGUGGGUGGGUUGACGGUAGCUGGAUAAGAAGCGCCGGCUAACUACGUG
rnacentral:rRNA from 1 species